rnacentral:rRNA from 1 species
GGGUUAAGUCCCGCAACGAGCGCAACCCCUAUGUUUAGUUGCCAGCAUNUAAGGUGGGGACUCUAAACAGACUGCCUGCGCAAGCAGAGAGGAAGGUGGGGACGACGUCAAGUCAUCAUGGCCCUUACGUCCGGGGCUACACACGUGCUACAAUGGAUGGUACAGCGGGCAGCUACAUAGCAAUAUGAUGCUAAUCUCUAAAAGCCAUUCACAGUUCGGAUUGGGGUCUGCAACUCGACCCCAUGAAGUUGGAUUCGCUAGUAAUCGCGUAUCAGCAAUGACGCGGUGAAUACGUUCCCGGGCCUUGUACACACCGCCCGUCAAGCCAUGAAAGUUGGGGGUACCUAAAGCAUGUUACCGCAAGGAGCGUGUUAGGGUAAAACCGAUAAUUGGGGCUAAGUCGUAACAAGGUAACCAAGGGCGAAUUCGCGGCC